AAGCUCGUAGUUGAAUUUCGGGAUCAGUAUGUUGGUCGUGCUUCGGUACGUACUGUCAUUACUGGUUUCUCCCUUCUGAAGAACCACGAUGUCAUUAAUUUGGUGUCGUGGGGAAUCAGGACUGUUACUUUGAAAAAAUUAGAGUGUUUAAAGCAGGCUUUCGCUUGAAUACAUUAGCAUGGAAUAAUGAAAUAGGACGUUUGAUUCUAUUUUGUUGGUUUCUAGGAUCGACGUAAUGAUUAAUAGGGAUAGUUGGG
rnacentral:rRNA from 1 species